rnacentral:lncRNA from 1 species
GUCCUGCUCCUCUGAGGGAGGGGACAGUCCUCAGUACAGCUGGACUCUGGAUGGACGCACACUGACAGAUGCUGAGCUCCUUCCUGGAAAUAAUGAGAGUAACAUCAUCACUCUGAAACAGCACGUCUCAGGACAUCUGGUCUGCUCAGUCAGGAACAACGUCAGUGAUGCCUUCAAAGAAGAGAUGAUAUCUACCUGUGGCUUUGUUUUCAUCAGCUGCUCAUUAUUUAAUGGGACACAGAUGUCAGGGUGGGUGCAUAAGUCCAGUAAUACCCUUUGUCCAGAACCAACAGGAGACCCUACCACAGCCACACAGACUGCAGUAGGUACUUCCUGGUUCAUGUUUGGUUUGAAAGCCACUGUGGUAAUUAUAUCAUUAAGUGGGAUUUCGCUCUAUUUCGCUUGGAAGAAAAAAACAAUAUUGGAAGGCUCUGCUGUCUCACAAAGGAUGGAAUCUCCAGAUAACUCUGUUUUGAUGAUUGCAUUGAGUUCUCACUCCAACACAUAGUGCCACCUUUCACCUGUUGUACAUUUCUCAUGUGUCCUUAUAGGCUUGUAAAUAAGGAUUAGUGGUCGUUUUUUCAUUCCACAUUUUAUUCACA